UACGUAGGGUGCAAGCGUUGUCCGGAUUUAUUGGGCGUAAAGAGCUCGUAGGCGGUCUGUCGCGUCGGAUGUGAAAACCCAGGGCUCAACCCUGGGCCUGCAUUCGAUACGGGCAGACUAGAGUACGGCAGGGGAGACUGGAAUUCCCGGUGUAGCGGUGAAAUGCGCAGAUAUCGGGAAGAACACCCGUGGCGAAGGCGGCUCUCUGGGACGGUACUGACGCUGAGACGCGAAAGCGUGGGGAGCGAACAGG
rnacentral:rRNA from 1 species